CCAGUAAGGAUGUGGUUUUGCCUCAAUCCCUGUGCAGGUAGUUGAAGAAAGAAUAAGAGCAAUCUUAAAGCUGUAUCUGAGUUCUCCACGAAGCACAGAUGUCCUAGCAAAGCUAUGGGUCUCAUUGCAUGUAAUGUGGUGGGACGCAUGUUCUGAUGUCAGACUGAGCUACCAUGCUGAAUGCAAGGUGCAGCAUGGAGCGGUGGUUGAGGAGGAUAUAUUCUGCCUUUGGCACACACAGGCACUGUGACAGUCAAACGCCAUAUGUGAAUGGGCUCUACUUGUCCUUGCACCUGAUGAAUUAGAUGAUGGGUAUAUGCUCAUCCUUUAACUUACAUUGAAAUACCUGUUCCUCUCCAAGUGCUCAACAGUUGUUGUAAUCAUGAACAUCCAAUUAAACUAAAAAACUGAACUAUUAAACUGAAGUGCAGUAUCUUAUUAAUCUAUAUUAAUAAUUGUUGUGCUUUUUGACUGUAAUAGAGUGAAAACAAUAAUAACCCUGCCCUCAUACACGUUGCCAGCAAGUGUCAUUUUUUUACAUGCUUUUUCUUUGAGCACUGUUUGAUUCCUGACGAAGGUCCUUGUGGGGGGACCGAAACGUUGAGCAAACUAAACCUUCGGAAGAUUGAUUCAGCAAGUCCUGGUUCUCUGGGGCACAGAUGAGGAAUACACAUUACAUAAUGUGAAACUAAAAUCAGUAGACCUCACCUGGGAAUGACUCCAACCAGAGAAAGAGUGAAAGCAACUGACUGUGGAGUUUCUAAAUAUGAGUCAGAACUGGAGGUGUAUGCCUACCCAGCCUGGGAUGAUGUCACUGUACAUACCAGACACUAUGGUGAGAGAAACCACGUACAGUGUAGAACCUAAGCACAGAACAGAACAGGAAGAUGCUCCAUAAGAAGACCUCCAAUUUCCAUAUUCAGAAGGCACCCUGCAGAGCUCACCUUAAAGAAGUGGCCUGGAGUUCCAACUCAAACCAGAGAGAUCUAUUUGUACAAGACUGGCUUGCUUUAAAGAGCAAGUAACUAAUUGGCUGCUGAGGACUCACUUAGAACCUAUAUUAUUACCCUGUUAGGCUACCUUUUUUUGCACUUUGCAUUAAAUAAGACACACAGGAUGCCCAAUAGGGUGUAUUCCCUUUACCCACUCACAGUCAUAUAAGAUCACAAUGCUCAUUCUGGUUUCAAUGGUCAUUAUUUGAUGCAGCAUGAAAUAUCUCUAAAUACAUCAUGUAUUUAGUAUUUAAACAAAGAAACCUAUGCUGCCAAUCCCAGCAGCACCCCUAAGCCAACUCUCACUUACUGUUACGUCUGGGUUUUCACAGCACAGAACAGAACAGGAAGAUGCUCCAUAAGAAGACCUCCAAUUUCCAUAUUCAGAAGGCACCCUGCAGAGCUCACCUUAAAGAAGUGGCCUGGAGUUCCAACUCAAACCAGAGAGAUCUAUUUGCUUUUGUCCUAGCCUAAUGGAGCUGCCUCCGAACCCCAGUGUUUGUACCCAAGUGAGCCUCCAUUGGAAGGGUAUAAGCAGAGAUAUAAACUUACCACCAGAUCCAUGAAAUGUAUAUUCAAGAGGUCUUGCAGUGUGACUGCUAUAAAGGAGCAACUGCCAUUCUGCAGUUGAAUGUUACUUUGAGACAGACAGCGCAACCAGGAUACUGCAUAAAGUGUUUUGGCUUGGACUUCAUUGCAUUGACUGAACUUUGUCUUUGAUGUAUUUGUCUAAGGCUAGUGGCCUAGACAACUGAUUCCCAGGCAGAAUUGAUAUAUAGGCCGAGAAUCAUUCCCAAGUAGACAGUAAUUCUGCUAAGGAAUGUGUCAUAUUGCUCUCCUUAGACAGCUUCAUUAAAAUAAAAGUUACCAUUAUAACUAUUAUAUCUGUUACUA